CGAUCGGAGAGCUCGACAACCUUCCGUGACCAGCGCUCGUCCGCAUGCGGCCGCCACAGCCGCAUGAACUCCUCUCGCUUGAUGAUGCGGCGCUUCUCCUGAACAUGCGCCCUUGUCUCCGCGGACCUGACCUCUGAGGCGGGGUGGUCCAAUGCCCCUGACAGCAGCAGGG
rnacentral:SRP_RNA from 14 species